UGCUUAAUUUUUCAUCAUCUUCCAUCCGAUUUACUGAACCAUCCUUAACUUUAGGAUGAAUCCUUUCAUUUAACAAAUGUGUUUUGAAUGUCCACUAUGUGCCAGACACUGUUCUAGGUGCUAGGAAAACAGCUGUGAACAAAACCAAUAAAAAUCUCUUUCCUCAUGGAAUUUAUAUUCUAGUUUAUUUGUGUUUGGGGCAGACGAGGUAGGCACUUGAAAAAUUUUAUCUAAGUUUAUUUAUUUAUUUAUUUGGAGACAGAAUCUCGCUCUGUCACGCAGGCUGGAGUGCAGUGGCACGAUCUCUGCUCACUGCAACCUCCUCCUCCCAGGUUCAAGUGAUUCUCCUGCCUCAGCCUCCCCAGUAGCUGGGAUUACAGGCGCAUGCCACCACACCCGGCUAUAUCUAAGUUAUUUUAAAAAAAUAAUUAAUUAAUUUAUUUUUUUGAGACGGAGUCUCACUCUGUUUCCCAGGCUGGAGUGCAAUGGCACCAUCUCAGCUUACUGCAACUUCUGCCUCCCGGGUUCGAGCGAUUCUCCUGCUUCAGCCUCCUGAGUAGCUGGGACUACAGGCACACACCACCACGCCCAGCUAAUUUUUGUACUUUUAGUAGAGACAAGGUUUCACCACAUUGGCCAGGUUGGUUUCGAACUCCUGACCUCAGGUGAUCUGCCCACCUCAACCUCCCAAAGUGCUGGGAUUACAGGCAUGAUCCCCCACGCCUGGCUAUAUCUAAGUUAUUUAAUUUAUUAGAAGAUGAUAAAUACUAAGAGGAAAAAAUAAAACAGGGAAGUAGGAUGAGGCUGUAUGGAUUGGUAAAAUUUAAGCUAGGGUGGUCAUGACCUCCCUGCUCACUUUGGAGGAGUCUGUCCUUGUCUUGUCAAUACCAAGAUAAGGGAUUUGAUUUAUGCUUAAAGGAAGUGAGGGAGUGAACCGUGUGGAUAUAAGGAGAGAGCAUUAUGAGUACAGUCAGCAACCAAUAAAAAUGCUCAGUGUAACUGGAAGGAGAUGAUCUCCUUGUGUGUUGAGUCAUAUGGGUGUGCUGAGUCAGACGGGAAGCCACUGGAAGGUUCUGAGCAGAGUGACAUGAUCUGAUUUGUGAUUUGAAAAGAAGCACUUUCACUUCUGUGCUAAGGGGAAAGAAGAUGGAAGAGGGAAAACCAUUUAGGGAGGUAUUGCUAUAUCCAGGCCCCAGGAGGUUGUGGUUCAGACCAGGGUGGAGCAGUGAGGGUGGUGGGAGCAUUUUGAAAUGAAGCAAGGAAGCAGUUUGAUUUCAUUUUGAAAGGAUCACUCUGGCUGCUAAGUGGAGAGUAGAUGGCAGGGGCAAGGGCAAGAAGCAGAGACUACGUGGAGGCUACCACAAUGUCAGGUUCACGACUGAGCCAAAUGUCAUGCUUGGGGUCAGGUUCUAGCCCAUGCUGAGGUCCAAGGGGAGUGGGUGGAUGAGCAGAAAGAACACUCAGGGGACCGUAGGCAGGUAAAAGAUGAUUUUACUCAGCAGCAGCUCUCAUCAACAGCUUUCUUACACUAGCUCUCUACACUGUCUGCCCUGUCUCAGGUGCUUAGUCUGGCGGCUCCCCCACACAGCUGCAUGGCCGACUCUCCCUUGCCUUCGGGGUCAGCAGCUUAACUCUUCCUCUCUCUGGGCAUGAGCAAGCCGAGCUGUGUCCUGGCUCCCCACUGUCAGUCUCCAAGAGGGUCAACUCUGGCUCUCUCUCUCUCUCUCUGGGUGUCAGCACGCCUGCACGAUGUCAACAGGGCAAUUAUACCUUUUACAGACAAUAGUGGCUUAGAGCCAAGGGAUGGCCUUCCCAUGUUAUGGCUACAUAGCUGUGAUAACAAGUGGAGUUAUAUGCCUGCGCUCUAAACUCGCUGAGUCCCUGUGGAUGUUUACCUCGUCCUAUCCUUGACCAAAGCACAGCCAUGUUCCUUACACACAGCCAUCCAGGCACAGCUUAGGAUGGCUUGACCAGGGUGGGGGCAGUGGUGAGCACUCCCCACUGACACCUUAAAUCCUUCCCAAGUGUUCAUUGUUAUUAAAAAAUUGUCAUAGAAUUUACAUAUUUUCAUCCUUUUUCCUUUCAAAUUAUCAUUGCCUUUGCAUAAAUUCCCAGAACCAGGAGUACAAAGCCCAAGGAAAUGAAUAUUUUAUGGCUUUUCUUAUAUAUGGGUGCUCUCCAAAAGGGCUGUGUUGGUCUAUCUGUGUGUGGGAAUGAACUGUUUUUACCACAGUCAAAUCAGUUCUGCUGAUGAAGGGGAGGAUUCACCCAUCAAAGCAAGUGAAUUGAAUGCUGCCAAUUUAAUGCACUCAUUUUGAUUUGGCCAUUUUGAGAUUGCUACUGCACUGUUGUUCUUUUUAAAGGAAACAUUUUAAACCCACCAAACUAUAAAGAAUAUUACAAACACCCUACGCUCACUACCAAGAUUGAGCAGAUACUGAUAUAUUGCCACAUUUGCUUGUCAUGGCUUUUGAUUACCAAAUGUUAGUGGCAGACAUCUUUGAUUCUUGAACAUUCUUCCAUGCCCUAUACAUCUGAGUCUUUCUCUUUCCUUGACCAUCAUUUCAUUUCUGACACCUCCAACCCUUUUCUAUCCUCAGUAUUCAUUCCCUUAUUUAUUUAGUCAACUAAAAAGUUAAGUGUCUGCCCUAUGUUAGAAUUGGGAGUUACAGAAUAAGGAUCAGGGAUUGGGCGGGACUGAAUGAGGAUUCCGGGAGUUUUUUUAUAGCUGAAAGAGUAAUAUUUUGCUUUUCAGACCAUGUGUCAAUGUUCCCAAGAUGAAUUGCCUAGCUUAAAAAGCCACAUCUGAAUACCACGUGCUUAAUCACAGAGCUCGUUUGUGGCAGGCUUUGCAACUCCCAGUCCUUCUUGCUUUCUAAUGCAUCAUAAUUCUUUCAUUAGUAAACUAAUUUUCCUCUUUCUGCUAAAUCACAGGGUCUGGCUAACAAUGAAGUUUGGGCAUAGUUUCAAGAAAACAGCCCCACCCAUCCACUACCUUGCAAUAAUCCUACUUCUUCCUCAUCCCUUAACACAGCCUCCAUACCCCCUUAACUUCCAGGUGCUCCAUCUGCCUCCUACUGUGAAAUAGAAGGCACCUGAGAAAUGUGCCAUGAGGGAUACGGUUUAGGUGCUACAAUCAUAAGGCUGCAUAACAUCAUGGUACAGAUGAGAUAUCAUUAAGAAUGAGGAUGUCUGAUAUCUGACAGACAGUGUAUUAGUUUCCUAGGGCCAUCAUACCAAAUUACCAAAAACAAGGUAGCUUAACAGAUAUUUAGUCUCUCACAGUUCUGGAGGGUAGAAGUCCAAAAUUGGCAGUGCCAUGCUCUCUCUGAAGCCGCGAGGGAGGAUUCUUUCAUUGCCUCUUGCUUGGUUCUGGUGACUUCUGGCAAUCCUUGGCAUUCCUCAGCUUGUGGCGGCAUCACUCCCACCCCAGCCUCCAUCUUCACAUGACCUUCCUCUCUGUGUCUCCUCCUGUGUUUCUGUGUCCACAUUUCCUUCUUUUUAAGGACACCAGUCACUGGAUUUAGGGCCCACCCUAAUUCAGUAUGACUUUAUCUUAACUUGAUUACAUCUGUAAAGACACAUUUUUUUUUUCUUUUGAGACAGGGUCUUUCUCUGUCACCCACGCUGGAGUACAAUGGCACAGUCAUGGCUUAUGGCAGCCUCAAAUUCCUGGGCUCAAGCAAUUUUCCUCCUUAGCCUCCCAAGUAGCUGAGAAUACAGACAUGUGCCACCACGCUCAGCUAUUUUUUUAUUUUUUUAUUUUUUACUUUUGUAGAGACAGUGUCUUGUUAUGUUGACCAGGCUGGUUUCCAACUCCUGGGCUCAAAUGAUCCUCCUGCCUCAGCCUCCCAAAUUACUGGGAUUACAGGCAUAAGCCACCAUGCCAGCCAAAGACACUAUUUUGAAAUAAGUUCACAUUCCAAGUUCCAGUAGAUGUGAAUUUUGGGGAGAUGCUAUUCAAGUCAGUACAGCUGAAUUCUAGAUUUGCCAAUUAUUAGCUGUAGGAUCUUGGAUCAAUUAGUAAGUAUGCAAUAAAGAUAGUGAUAAUAAGAAUUCAGAGGUAGGGAAGAGGAAACCAUUCUGAUCGAUAAAACAACAUGAAAGAGGAGUUCACCCAGUAUUUAAGCUGGGUGGGAGGAUUUUAAUGGGGAGCUUUAACUGCUUCUUGGUUAUUUAUUCCAUACUUCCUGUCAGAUGUCAGAUGUGUAUUGAGCAACAAAUACUAUUCCAGGUGGUUGUGGAAUUAUAAAUUGUGGAUUAUACAUUCUCUGUAAAUGGUUGGAAGAAAAAACUGGCCAAUUCUGAGACAGACACUCUUAGGUUUUAAUGACAAGAUACUAUGUGGUGAAAUUCAGAUGUUUCAGCACAGGGACUUUGUGAAGACUCCUGGGGGUCCUGUCUCUAGGAAUGGCUCUUGGCUUAGGAAGGAAAGACCAGGAAAGUGUAGGGUGGUGGGCGUGGACCUGAGAAAAUGCUCUGACAAUAUUUGCUAGUGUACCCCAAGACUAGGACAUUGCUGGGGCUGAUGAGGGAACCAGAGAUAAGGGAUCAUUCCCUUUGUCUUCCCCCUAGAGGACUGGUUUGAAGAGUGCAGGCAGGCACCUGCUAUGAGUCCUGAAUGUUUGGAGGUUGCAUACCUAUAUGCCAGCAGGGGGAUAUUGGAGGAGGGGCUAGAUCUCCCAGUCUUACAACUCCCUGGGAAGAAAUAAUCACUAGCAGUUUAUUUCACAUUCACUCUGAGCCAAGCACUUUACAUCUGUGGUGGGAAUUUAAUGCCUAUAACAGUCCUUACAGGUAGGCUUUAUUAUCCUCACUUUAGAGAUGAGAAAUCCGAGGCUUAGAAACAUGAUUUGCUCAAGGUCAUUCUCCCACCAAGUAGCAGAACCGGGAUUCCAGUUCAGCCUUGAUAAUAAGGCCAGUGUUCUUAAUUACUAGCUGUAGACUGAGCUAAGUGCUUCAGGACAUAAUGAUUCAGAGAAGCUAGGAUGCUUGAGCAUUCUCUGAAUCAUUAUAUCCUGAGCCUCACAAAUGAUGUAUCUGCUCCAGCUUAGGAUCCAUGAAGGGCACUGUGCAACAAUGAGAGUAGCUGAAGACUGGCAAUGUUAACUAAUGCAAGUCUCAGAAAGAGGAAGAUGAUAUUUGCAAACUCCAGGUGGGGUUCGAUGGCAAGCAUAAUUCCAGAAAAUAACUUUUUUUUUUUGAGACAGGGUCUUGCUCUGUUGCCCAGGCUGGAGUUCAGUGUUGCAAUCUUGGUGAUGGCGUGGGUGGCCCUUCUGGAGUGGCUGCUAUCAUGACACUGGCUGCAGUGGGGGAGGCGUGGCCAGGGCUGCGAGCUCUACAGGGCUGGGAGGAGCCGGGAACUGUGGAAGCCCUGCCCACUUCCAAGUUGGCAGGGCGGGAGCCUUGUGCUCCCUGGGUGCAGCUGCAGCUGCCCAGGCACAGCUCCAGACCUGGACAUCCCUGUGCUCUUGGGGGCCAGAAUCAGGCAGGAGCCCUGCCCUCUCAGGCACAGCUGCAGCCAUCCAGCCAUGGCUGUGGACCCGGGCAUCUCUUGGGGGCCAGGGAAGCCUCCCUGCCCCUGCAGGCUCAGAAGUACCUGCUCCUGUUGCCUGGUCUCUCCCCACUCCCGGUGCCGACUCUGAUUUUGGAGCAAAGUUGAGGCCAAGCCCAGGCCCUCUUGCAACCCAGCCAGGUGUAUGCAUGCUCAGAGCAGCACUGACAUGCCAGACCCCUGCCGCCUUGGCUCCCCUCCAGGCUUUGGGCACUGACGAGCACAGGAGGGAGGCUGAGGGAGCACUGAGGGUGGCUCAGCAUGGGCCUGCAGGAGCCCCUCAACACAAAUAGCUUGGGCAGUGGCAGGAGGCAGACAAGCUCCUGGGCAGAAAGGGGCAGGUCCCUGGUGAAGCCUCACCUUCAAGCCAGGGAUGGCCUAAAGCCUGGUGGUGGGGCUGAUGGGCCAGAAUGGGAACUUAUGGUGCUAUUUUCAGGCCCACCCAUUGCCACCCGUGAACCAAUCAGCAUGUACUUCCUCCCCUCUGAAGCCCAUAAAAACCCCUGGACUCAGCCAGACUCCGAUGACCAGAUGACCUGCCUUUGGAGAGGAGCUACCUGCUCCAGGAUCUCCUCUCUGCUGAGAGCUGGGCAUAAGUUGGGACUACCAGCUGCAGAGAGGAGCUGCCCACUCUAGGGUCUCCUCUGCUGAGAGCUGAACACUGUUGGGACAACCUGCCUGUGGAGAGGAGCUGCCUACUCUAGGGUCUCCUCUGCUGAGAGCUGAACACUAUUGGGACAACCUGCCUGUGGAGAGGAGCUACCCACUGUGGUUUCCUCUAAGCUGUUCUGUCACUCAAUCAAACUCCUCUUUGACUUGCUCACCCUCCACUUGUCUGCGUACCUCAUUCUUCCUAGACACAGGACAAGAACUUGGGAUGCGCUGAAUGCCUGGGCUAAAAGAGCUAUAACACAAAUGGGUCUGAAAUACACCCCUUGCUUACCACGUUGUGGGCAACAAGAAGGAGAGAGAGCUGCAGCCCUUCUGGGAGCCCAGACCUAGGAGCUCCCCAAGCCAGGGCUGUAACACCCUCUCUGGGGCUCUGUGGUUCCCGGCAUCUCCAAGCUUCCAAGUUCCACUGCGUUCCUCAGUGCCAGCCAUGGAAGCUGCUUGUGGUCCACCUGGUCCAGCCACAGCCUCACAGGGAGCUGGCGCCUGUGCUGGUGCUUGGAACUGCCUGCCCCACCACAGCCAGUGUGCCUGGCUGUGCUCAGUGGCCGGGCACCAUGCUUGCUCACUCACACACCCCUUGCUGCUCUGUGCCUGGCUCUCCCUUGGCAGGCAUGAGAUUCAGGCCAGUAGUGCAAGCUGAGCACAGCCUGCCAGGCUGAUUGGGUGGAACAAGCCCAGCGGGCCUAAGUAAAAACUCAGGGAAAAGCGCCACUGGCCACACAGGUUUCCGGCUGGUGAAGUGACACCCACAGGAUCCCAUGACAUCAGCUCACUGCAGCCUCAACCUCCUGGACUCAAGUGAUCCUCCCACCUCAGCCUCCCAAGGUGCUGGGACUACAGGCAUGCACCACCAUGCCCAGCUAAUUUUUGUAUUUUUUUGUAGAGAUGGGGUUUCACCAUAUUGCCCAGGCUAGUCUUGAACUCCUGGGCUCAAGUGAUCCACCUGCCUUGGUCCCCCAAAAUGCUGGGAUUACAGGCAUGAGCCACUGUGCCCAGCCUCAGAAAAGAAUAUUAAAGGAGUAGCUCUUGAAAGCCUAGAGUGGGAACAUCUAGGCUUUCAAGAGCUACUCCUUUAAUAUUCUUUGAGGGUGACAUCCCUCAAAAUCAAUCAUUUCCCUUCCCAUUCCCAUGACUGGAGUCAGUGGUUCUCAGUCUAGGCUAUUUAAUAGAAUCACUUGGGAAUGGACAUCCAAGUCCCACCUAGAUCAAUUUAAAAAAUUCUUUGGAAAAAUCCAAAGUGAAGGGAGGAGGAUGUGUGCCUGCUAGCUAUAAGUACUGAGCUGUUACUUCCACCAUCGUCUCUAUUGCUUUCCAAAGCCCAGCCCUCUCACUGGGGAGAAGCCAUGGUUUUAGUGUAUGUGCCAGAGAAUUUCCUCCAUUUAAAGGAGGUAUUUGCUGCUAAGGGGACACUGUAUAUAGAAAGACCAAGAAUGGAAUAUGAAUAAGAAGAGGUGCCUUCACUCUCAAAGAUCACAGAAGCAAACAGAGCUAUGUCUUGGAAAUAUGAAGGAAAGGCCUGUAUUCCAGACUAGCCCCAAGGGUGUGGGGUCAGAGAAAAUUUCUUCAAGCAGUUCUGGAGGCUGAAAGUCCAAGAUCAAAGCACCGGCAUUUGGUGUCUGGUGAGGGCUGCGCUCUGCUUCCAAGAUGAUGCCUUAUUGCUGCAUUCUUCAGAGAGGAGAAAUGCUAAGUUUUCAUAUGGUGGAAGGUAGAAAAAGAGCAAGAGGAAUGAAUUCGUUACAUGAAGCCAUUUUAUAAAAGCACUAAUUCUAUUCCUAAGGGAGGGGCCCUCAUGGCCUAAUCACUUUUUAAAAGCCCCACCUCUUAAUACUGUCAUAUUGGCAACACCUGAAUUUUGAAGAUACCCAUUCAAACCAUAACACUUGUUUUAUAUAUAUUUAAAUUGUUCUUUAAUAAAAUAUUUUACCUAACAAAAAUUCUGUGGAAGCCAAAGCAGUGGUAGUUAUUAUCUUUGUGAUAACAGUUUUAUUGAGAUAUAAUAUACAUACCAUACAAUUUAAGUAUACGUUUAUACAUAUACAAUUUAAAGUAUACAAUUCAGUGGUUUUAAGUAUAUUCACAGAGUUCUACAACCAUCACCACAAUCAAUUUCAGAAUAUUUCAUCACUCCAAAAAGAUAGUUGUAUCUGUAGCCACCACCCCUAAUCCUCUCAUCUUUCUUAUCCCUAGACAACCAUUAGUCUACUUUCUAUUGCUAUAGAUUUGCCAUACUGAACAUUUAAUAUAAAUGGAAUGAUAACAAUAUAUGGCCUUUUGUGUCUGGCUUCUUUCACUUAACAAUGUUUUCAAGGUUCAUCCAUGCUGUAGCACAAAUCAGUACUUCAUUUCUUUUUAUGGCUGAAUAAUAUUCCAUUGUAUAAAUAUGUCACAUUUUGUUUAUGCAAUCAUCAAUUGAGAGAGAUUUGGAUUAAUUCCACAUAUUUUUGGCCAUUAUGAAUAAUGCUAUUCAUAUGGCUAUAUGGCUGUUAUGAAUAAUAUUAUAAAAAUUCAUUUGCAAAUUGGGACAUCUAGUUCCUCCCCCAGUAUUCGCCAGCUGGUAUAUAGGGAUGUGGCCUUCAGACAUUUGAACUUGGGUCUUCAUUUCUCUUGGGUAUAUACCUAGGAGUGAAAUGACUGGGUCGCGUGGUAACGAUAUUUAAUUUCUCGAGGAGCAGUGGUAGUUUUAAAACUUCCCAGUUGAUUCUAAUGCAGAUCCAGGGCUGAAAAGCAGUGAUCUCAACGAAUGGUGAAACUCAGAAACGCACACUCUUGACAGCUUCAGGGAGACAUUUACAGGGUCCUUCUUAAGCCUUGGGGGUCCAUGUGGAACAAUGAGAUUGGUUCGCAACUGGCUUUCCUGCCAUACCCAAGACACAGUGAUUGCCAUCAGUAUGCAGGGAAAUGUAUCUUAAUGCUCUGCUCUCACCUCUAUUUGAUUCAACAUUUAUAAUAAUGACUUGUGGGAUGAAUAUCUGGAACAGGGGUUUUCAAAUGUUUUUCUAACUGUGCAACCCUUUCUUCCAAUAAAAUUCUCUGUGGAAACUAAACUCAAGGCUCUGUCUACCGGGUCUGUAGAAGUUUUCUGUCUUGCCCACCCACCCUGCCCCACUACUUCUGAGUCCUUCCUCAAAGCACCA
rnacentral:lncRNA from 1 species